rnacentral:rRNA from 1 species
UACAGUCACAUCACGUUGAAACACUGGUUCCAGUACGAUGACCGAAGUUAAGCAACGUCAAACCUGGUCAGUACUUAGAUGGGUGACCACGAAGGAAUACCAGGUGCUGUAAG